AAGACCUCUACUGCCACCCCCACUCCACUAACGGGGUAUGUGUACCCCUGGCUGACAACCACUGGUAUAUAGUAUCAUGCAGUCUUACAGUGGAUACAGGCAGCUCACAUUUAAAAAAAUAAAAGAUAACACAACUGGCUCAAAUUAUGCCAACAUCUAAAUAACUAUACUAAAUUUGAUAAAUUCCACAUUACUGUACCAGAAAUUCAGAAUUAAGACUUUUCACUUCUACAAUACCUCAUGUGCUGGGAAGGAGGGAAGGGUUCGGGUCAGGGUCAAGGUGAGGGUCUUGCAUCAAAAUUUCAGUUUCCUCUCUCCAAAAGAAAGGUGUUAACUAAGCCCUAAAGAAACCUGUCAGCUUUCUGUCUGGGGCACACUUGAUGAAAGCUUAUUAGAUUAUUUGUAUUUCAAAGACAACUUGCAAAAGACAGAAAAAUGGGUUUUGUGGCCUUUUUAGCUUCUUUAUGGUACAUAAAGAAGGCCUGACUGAGAGGCUUGGUUAAAAUAUUCUGCUUGUUUUUUUACAUGAGAAAUGCAGACCACAUCUGCCCUGGAGAACUCUAUGAUGGUGGUAGAACUAUUAACAACAUCAAGAGAGACUAAAAGAGCAGACUUCAGUUUGGCUAUUUAAAUUCUUGGUGAUAGAGUAAAGCUGUACCUGCAAUUUCAGUGACAAGCUUUCAAAGAAACAAAAAUAAAUUAUCUUCUUCUGGCUCAGUUUCUUCAUUCCUAACACAAGAUUGUGUUAAUGUGCCAACAACAUUUUAGGAUGAAGAAUGGGGACCUCAAUGUUGGUGCAAUACUUAAGCACAUUGAAGUCACUGAGUACUGAUAGGCAAGUGAGUAGCUGACUGAACUACUGUGCAAGCUCAUUUCAGGAAAAGCUGUAUGAGAAGGGGAUGUUUCAUGAAACCCAGGGAACAGAAGGCUCAGUUGUUCCACUUUGAGGAUUUUUCUUCAUUUACGCUAUCCCCUUGAUGUGCCUAGCACACCUUGAUUGUCCAUUGACACUAAUAAAGGUAGUUAAUCCUGCUUUAGACUAGAUAAACUGUUGGUCUCCUAGCAGAUUGGCAUGCAUGCAACUUGGGGGUACUUUGAGAGAGGCUGGAUAUUUUAAGAAAACACCAUCUUCAAUUUCUUGAAUUGACCUUGGUUUACAAUUUCCUCUACUCAGCUGCAGUUUAUAAAGUCAUAUUUUACAAUCAGCAGCCUUCAAUAGCUGCUAAUGUCCUGAGAAUUGUCCCCUAGGGCAACAUUAGCUGCGACUUUUCUGAACAUAAGAACUAAAAUGAUUAAAGUUUCUAAAUUUCAGGUUUAGUAAUAAUGCUCUUCUAUUUCAAUAGCUCCUUUCAUCCACUAGGAUCCCAAAGUACUUUACAAAUCUGGGUGUGAUCCUGCAGUCCUUACUCAGGAAAAUCUGUUGAAAGGCACCAUACUUAGAAAUCAC